rnacentral:rRNA from 1 species
CAGCCGUAAACAAUGUGCGUUAGGUGUGUCGGUAACCACGCGUUACUGAUGCGCCGAAGAGAAAUCGUGAAACGCACCACCUGGGAAGUACGGUCGCAAGGCUGAAACUUAAAGGAAUUGGCGGGGGAGCACCACAACAGGUGGAGCCUGCGGUUUAAUUGGAUUCAACGCCGGACAUCUCACCGGAUAAGACAGCUGAACGAUUGUCAAUCUGAAGGUUUUACAUGACUAGCUGAGAGGAGGUGCAUGGCGUAGACGUCU